GUAAUAACACAGCAGCAGAACAUGUUCAGUUAUUAAAGAUAUGUGCACACCUGUUUAUGAUUAGUAAUGGACUGUUCUUCUAUUGUUUGAGUCCUUGUGUUUAUUGUGUUCAUGUAAGGGACUGUUCUUCUAUUGAUUGAUUCCUUGUGUUUAUUGUGUUCAUGUAAGGGACUGUUUUUCAAUUGUUUGAGUCCUUGUGUUUAUUGUGUUCAUGUAAGGGACUGUUCUUCUAUUGUUUGAGUCCUUGUGUUUAUUCUGUUCAUGUAAGGGACUGUUUUUCUGUUGUCCUGGUUAAUAAAGCAUAAUGGUGAUAAACAA